rnacentral:rRNA from 1 species
GAAUUGUUCGCAAUGGGCGCAAGCCUGACGACGCAACGCCGCGUGGAGGAUGAAGAUCUUCGGGUCGUAAACUCCUGUCGAAUGGGACGAAUGGGUAGCGGGGUAAUACUCCGCGACCGUGACGGUACCGUUAAAGGAAACCCCGGCUAACUCCGUGCCAGCAGCCGCGGUAAUACGGGGGGGGUAAGCGUUGUUCGGAAUUACUGGGCGUAAAGGGCUCGUAGGCGGCCAACUAAGUCAGACGUGAAAUCCCUCAGCUUAACUGGGGAACUGCGUCUGAUACUGGAUGGCUUGGAUUCGGGAGAGGGAUGCGGAAUUCCAGGUGUAGCGGUGAAAUGCGUAGAUAUCUGGAGGAACACCGGUGGCGAAGGCGGCAUCCUGGACCGAUAUUGACGCUGAGGAGCGAAAGCCAGGGGAGCAAACGGG